UGAAUCAGUUUGUGUGUUAGUGGAAGCGUCUGGAAAGUCGCACGGUACAGGGUGAUAGUCCCGUACACAAAAAUGCACAUGCUGUGAACUCGAUGAGUAGGGCGGGACACGUGACAUCCUGUCUGAAGUAUGGGGGACCAUCCUCCAAGGCUAAAUACUCCUGACUGACCGAUAGUGAACCAGUACCGUGAGGGAAAGGCGAAAAGAACCCCGGCGAGGGGAGUGAAAUAGAACCUGAAACCGUGUACGUACAAG
rnacentral:rRNA from 1 species